rnacentral:rRNA from 1 species
CAGGCCUAACAAUGCAAGUCGAACGGAAACAUGUCUAGCUUGCUAGAUGAUGUCGAGUGGCGGACGGGUGAGUAAUGCUUGGGAACUUGCCUUUGCGAGGGGGAUAACAGUUGGAAACGACUGCUAAUACCGCAUAAUGUCUACGGACCAAACAGGGCUUUUACCUCUGGCGCAAAGAGAGGCCCAAGUGAGAUUAGCUAGUUGGUGAGGUAAAGGCUCACCAAGGCAACGAUCUCUAGCUGUUCUGAGAGGAAAAUCAGCCACACUGGGACUGAGACACGGCCCAAACUCCUACGGGAGGCAGCAGUGGGGAAUAUUGCACAAUGGGGGAAACCCUGAUGCACCCAUGCCGCGUGUGUGAAGAAGGCCUUCGGGUUGUAAAGCACUUUCAGUUGUGAGGAAAAGUUAUUAGUUAAUACCUGCUAGCCGUGACGUUAACAACAAAAAAAGCACCGGCUAACUCCGUGCCAGCAGCCGCGGUAAUACGGAGGGUGCAAGCGUUAAUCGGAAUUACUGGGCGUAAAGCCGACGCAGGCGGUUUGUUAAGCUAGAUGUGAAACCCCCGGGCACAACCUGGGGACGGUCAUUUAUAACUGGCUAACUAAAAUCUUG